UACGGAGGGGGCUAGCGUUGUUCGGAGUUAUUGGGCGUAAAGCGCGCGUCGGCGGGCUGUUAAGUCGGGGGUGAAAUCCCGGGGCUCAACCCCGGAACUGCCUUCGAUACUGGCAGCCUAGAGGAAGGCAGAGGCUAGUGGAAUGGCGAGUGUAGAGGUGAAAUUCGUAGAUAUUCGCCGGAACACCAGUGGCGAAGGCGACUGGCUGGGCCUUUUCUGACGCUGAGGUGCGAAAGCGUGGGGAGCAAACAGG
rnacentral:rRNA from 1 species